UCUGGUUGAUCCUGCCAGUAGUCAUAUGCUUGUCUCAAAGAUUAAGCCAUGCAUGUCUAAGUAUAAAUAGUAUACAGUGAAACUGCGAAUGGCUCAUUAAAACAGUUAUAGUUUAUUUGAUAAUUGACAAUUACAUGGAUAACCGUGGUAAUUCUAGAGCUAAUACAUGCUUAAACGCCCGACUUUAUGGAAGGGUGGUAUAUAUUAGACUGAAGCCAAUAUUCCUUGUGUCUAUUGCGGUGAUUCAUAAUAACUGAUCGAAUCUCUUUUUGAGAUAAAUCAUUCAAGUUUCUGCCCUAUCAGCUUUCGAUGGUAGUGUAUUGGACUACCAUGGCAGUAACGGGUAACGAAGAAUUAGGGUUCGAUUUCGGAGAGGGAGCAUGAGAAACGGCUACCACAUCUAAGGAAGGCAGCAGGCGCGUAAAUUACCCAAUCCUGACUCAGGGAGGUAGUGACAAGGAAUAGCAAACCGGGAACCUCAUGGUUUCACGGUAUUGCAAUGAGAACAAUUUAAAACCCUUAGCGAGAAUCAAGUGGAGGACAAGUCUGGUGCCAGCACCCGCGGUAAUUCCAGCUCCACUAGCGUAUAUUAAAGUUGUUGCAGUUAAAAAGCUCGUAGUUGAACCUCUGUCUGGGGCUAGUUUUGGCUUUGGUCAGGCUAGUUCUAGGCAUCCGCCUACAAGACUUAGAGGGCAUUCAGUUGUUCACUAGGAGGAGUAGGCAUUUUACUUUGAAAAAAUUAGAGUGUUUAAGGCAGGCAAUCGCCCGCAUAUAUUAGCAUGGAAUAAUAGAAUAGGACACUUUUCCAUUUCGUUGGUUAUUGGAAUCGUGUAAUGAUUAAUAGAGACAGUUGUGGGCAUUUGUAUUUAAUUGUCAGAGGUGAAAUUCUUGGAUUUAUUAAAGACAAACUAACGCGAAAGCAUUUGCCAAGGAUGUUUUCAUUAAUCAAGAACGAAAGUUAGGGGAUCAAAGACGAUCAGAUACCGUCCUAGUCUUAACUAUAAACUAUUCCGACUCAAUGUUUGACUGGCUUAUAUAACCAGUUGAGCGUUGUAUGAGAAAUCAAAGUCUUUAGGUUCUGGGGGAGUAUGGUUGCAAAGCUGAAACUUAAAGGAAUUGACGGAAGAGCACAACCAGGAGUGGAUUCUGCGGCUUAAUUUGACUCAACACGGGGAAACUUACCAGGUUAAAACAAUAGUGGGAUUGACAGUUUGAGAGCGCUUUCUUGAUUGGUUGGGUGGUGGUGCAUGGCCGUUCUUAGUUGGUGGAGUGAUUUGUCUGCUUAAUUGCGUUAACGAACGAGACCUUAACCUGCUUACUAGACUGGCGAUCAUCAAUCGUUAGCUCUUCUUAGAGG
rnacentral:rRNA from 1 species